rnacentral:rRNA from 1 species
CCUACGGGAGGCUGCAGUCGGGAAUAUUGGGCAAUGGACGCAACUCUGACGCAGUGACGCCGCGUGCAGGAUGAAGGUUUUCGGGGUGUUAACUUCUUUAUACAGGGAAGAAAAAAGACAGUACCUUUAGAAUAAGCUCCGGCUAACUACGUGCGAGCAGCCGCGGUAAUCCGUAGGGAGCAAGCGUUAUCCGGAUUUAUUGGGUUUAAAGGGUGCGUAGAAGGAGAAGCAAGUUAGUUGUGAAAUCCAUCGGCUUAACUGAGGAACUGCAACUAAAACUACCUCCCUUGAGUACCGGAGAGGAAAGCGGAAUUCCGAGUGUAGCGGUGAAAUGCGUAGAUAUUAGGAGGAACACCAGUGGCGAAGGCGACUUUCUGGACAGUAACUGACGUUGAGGCACGAAAGUGUGGGGAGCAAACAGGAUUAGAUACCCUAGUAGUC